rnacentral:rRNA from 1 species
GGCUAAAACUCAAAGGAAUUGACCGGGGGCCCGCACAAGCGGUGGAGCAUGUGGCUUAAUUCGAGGCAACGCGAAGAACCUUACCCGGGCUUGACAUAUUCCGGACCGCCUGUGAAAGCAGGUUUUCCCUUCGGGGACCGGUAUACAGGUGCUGCAUGGCUGUCGUCAGCUCGUGCCGUGAGGUGUUCGGUUAAGUCCGGCAACGAGCGCAACCCGUAUCGUCAGUUGCCAUCAGGUAAUGCUGGGCACUCUGGCGAGACUGCCCGUGUCAAGCGGGAGGAAGGCGCGGACGACGUCAAGUCCGUAUGGCCCUUACGCCCGGGGCUGCACACGUGCUACAAUGGGCGGUACAGUGGGAAGCGAAACCGCGAGGUGAAGCGAAUCCCCAAAACCGCCCCCAGUUCGGAUCGGAGUCUGCAAUUCGACUCCGUGAAGUCGGAAUCGCUAGUAACGGCGCAUCAGCAACGGCGCCUUGAUUCGUUCCCGGGCCUGUACACACCGCCCGUCACAUCAUGGAAGCCGGCUGCACCCGAAGU